UCGAGAAUCUUCGUCAAUGCGCGAAAGCGUGAACGAGCGACGCCGCGUGAGCGAUGAAGCCCUUCGGGGCGUAAAGCUCUUUUGUUAGGGACAAAUUUUGAUUUUACCUAGCGAAUAAGAGGUUGCUAACUCUGUGCCAGCAGCAGCGGUAAUACAGAGACCUCAAGCGUUAUCCGGAUUUAUUGGGCGUAAAGAGUCUGUAGGCGGAACAAAUAGUCGGAUGUUAAAUUUUGGGGCUCAACCUUAAAAUCGCAUCCGAAACGUUUGUUCUAGAGGAUGGUAGAGGCAAGUGGAACUUAUGGUGUAGCAGUAAAAUGCGUUGAUAUCAUAAGGAAUACCAAAGGCGAAGGCAUCUUGCUGGGCCAUUCCUGACGCUGAGAGACGAAAGCGUGGGUAGCGA
rnacentral:rRNA from 1 species